CAGCAGCCGCGGGAAUACGAGGGGGGCAAGCGUUGUUCGGAUUUAUUGGGCGUAAAGGGUGCGUAGGCGGUUUGGCAAGUCUCGUGUGAAAUCUAUGGGCUCAACCCAUAGCCUGCACGAGAAACUACCGGGCUUGAGUAUUGGAGAGGUGAGUGGAAUUCCGAGUGUAGAGGUGAAAUUCGUAGAUAUUCGGAGGAACACCAGUGGCGAAGGCGGCUCACUGGUCCAUUACUGACGCUGAGGUGCGAAAGCGUGGGGAGCAAACAGGAUUAGAUACCCCCGUAGUCCCUGUCUCUUAUAA
rnacentral:rRNA from 1 species